rnacentral:rRNA from 1 species
AGAGUUUGAUCCUGGCUCAGGACGCACGCUGGCGGCGCGCUUAACACAUGCAAGUCGAACGGAGUUAUUUUCUUCACUCCGAGCUUUUUGCCAGUUAGCCGGAGCGGCAAUCGGUUUUGCCCAGCAUAAAAAGCAAAACCGAUUUAGGCUCAUAAAGUAAGACUAACACAGAGGGCAGAGAGUUGGGAGUGAAGAAAAUAACUUAGUGGCGAACGGGUGAGUAACGCGUGAGUAACCUGCCCUGGAGUGGGGGACAACAGUUGGAAACGACUGCUAAUACCGCAUAAGCCCACGGCCCGGCAUCGGGCUGAGGGAAAAGGAUUUAUUCGCUUCAGGAUGGACUCGCGUCCAAUUAGCUAGUUGGUGAGGUAACGGCCCACCAAGGCGACGAUUGGUAGCCGGACUGAGAGGUUGAACGGCCACAUUGGGACUGAGACACGGCCCAGACUCCUACGGGAGGCAGCAGUGGGGGAUAUUGCACAAUGGGGGAAACCCUGAUGCAGCGACGCCGCGUGGAGGAAGAAGGUUUUCGGAUUGUAAACUCCUGUCGUUAGGGACGAUAAUGACGGUACCUAACAAGAAAGCACCGGCUAACUACGUGCCAGCAGCCGCGGUAAAACGUAGGGUGCAAGCGUUGUCCGGAAUUACUGGGUGUAAAGGGAGCGCAGGCGGACCGGCAAGUUGGAAGUGAAAACUAUGGGCUCAACCCAUAAAUUGCUUUCAAAACUGCUGGCCUUGAGUAGUGCAGAGGUAGGUGGAAUUCCCGGUGUAGCGGUGGAAUGCGUAGAUAUCGGGAGGAACACCAGUGGCGAAGGCGACCUACUGGGCACCAACUGACGCUGAGGCUCGAAAGCAUGGGUAGCAAACAGGAUUAGAUACCCUGGUAGUCCAUGCCGUAAACGAUGAUUACUAGGUGUUGGAGGAUUGACCCCUUCAGUGCCGCAGUU